GAUGAACGCUGGCGGCGUGCCUAAUACAUGCAAGUCGAGCGAACAGACGAGGAGCUUGCUCCUCUGACGUUAGCGGCGGACGGGUGAGUAACACGUGGAUAACCUACCUAUAAGACUGGGAUAACUUCGGGAAACCGGAGCUAAUACCGGAUAAUAUAUUGAACCGCAUGGUUCAAUAGUGAAAGACGGUUUUGCUGUCACUUAUAGAUGGAUCCGCGCCGCAUUAGCUAGUUGGUAAGGUAACGGCUUACCAAGGCAACGAUGCGUAGCCGACCUGAGAGGGUGAUCGGCCACACUGGAACUGAGACACGGCCCAGACUCCUACGGGAGGCAGCAGUGGGGAAUAUUGCACAAUGGGCGCAAGCCUGAUGCAGCGACGCCGCGUGAGGGAUGGAGGCCUUCGGGUUGUGAACCUCUUUCGCCAGUGAAGCAGGCCUGCCUCGUUUGUGGGUGGGUUGACGGUAGCUGGAGAAGAAGCGCCGGCUAACUACGUG
rnacentral:rRNA from 1 species